rnacentral:rRNA from 1 species
GAUGAACGCUGGCGGCGUGCCUAAUACAUGCAAGUCGAGCGAACAGACGAGGAGCUUGCUCCUCUGACGUUAGCGGCGGACGGGUGAGUAGCACGUGGAUAACCUACCUAUAAGACUGGGAUAACUUCGGGAAACCGGAGCUAAUACCGGAUAAUAUAUUGAACCGCAUGGUUCAAUAGUGAAAGACGGUUUUGCUGUCACUUAUAGAUGGAUCCGCGCCGCAUUAGCUAGUUGGUAAGGUAACGGCUUACCAAGGCAACGAUGCGUAGCCGACCUGAGAGGGUGAUCGGCCACACUGGAACUGAGACACGGUCCUGACUCCUACGGGAGGCAGCAGUAGGGAAUCUUCCGCAAUGGGCGAAAGCUUGACGGAGCAACGCCGCGUGAGUGAUGAAGGUCUUCGGAUCGUAAAACUCUGUUAUUAGGGAAGAACAAAUGUGUAAGUAACUAUGCACGUCUUGACGGUACCUAAUCAGAAAGCCACGGCUAACUACGUG